rnacentral:lncRNA from 1 species
AGAAUAGAAGUCUGUGGAAGGUGUGGGAUGGGAUGACAGCAUCAGAAAGAAUUGGGCAAAUCUGUCCCAGGACUAGGUCAGAAAAACGCCUCCCUAGGGAAGGUGCCACCCCAAACACGUGUUUCUGAGACCCCUUACCCGAAAUAAGGAGGCUGCCAAGCGAUACUUGAGGUUGGACCAGAUGAUGUUUUCUUGAGAGAAGCAGAAAACGCCAAGUCGGCCUCCACGCAUUGUGGUGUCUAUGGUGACGCCAGAGUCAGCCACCAACUCAGAGCCUUCAUAAAAUCGUACCCUGCGGACAACACGGCCGGAGGGGCCUCCAUGAAAUCCAACCCGGGGUUCCCCAUCCUGCGGUCACAAAAGUCCUGGCAUGUCCUUGGGGACUAUCCUAGGUCAGAAUUGCUCAGGGAAAUGAAGGCUCUGGGAUGCAGAACGGAGAAUGCUUUGCUUCUAGAGCAAGAUUAACUAAGUACCACAUGGGAAAACACAAUAUCUGAAAAAAGAUGAGAGGUCCAGAAGAAAGGGAGAUGAAUGACUUCAAACCACCAAUACCUUGAGCUGAAUGCCAGGUUCUGCAACUGCUCGGAAUGGGGUGGCUUGCCAAUAUGUCUGCUCCGUCUGCUUCCACAUGACCACGUAGAAGCUGGAGCUAUCUUGGUAGCCAAAGAUAAAGCCUGCAUAGUCAUCAUCUGUCUGGGUAUUCACAUGGAAGGUCCCUUCGAAGUCAACUCCAUUAAAAGCUGUGUACCCUGUAGGGACCAGAUAAGAUUAGAACAAUAGACAAACCACACUAGUAGCUGGAAGAAUUCUAUGUGAGUGGCAACUGAGGCCCUGGACAUACCCACUGCCAGGCCAGGAUCACUGUUCAUGGUCUGUACAAUCUCCAUGCCCUGCAGAGAGAGUUGAGGGAGUUCAGAACAGUCUUGAAGGGGCCAAGUAACCUUAAGGAAGCUCAAAACCUCAGGCACCA